UUCCCCACAGCAGGCCUACUUGGUUUGAACCCCAGGAACCCCUCAACUAUUGUCCUUGGAAUCUCCCAAUACAGAGCAACUUUCAGCAGGAUACGACGUUGGCCAACGUUCCGAUAGGAAUGUAUAAUGUAGAACAAACAUACAUUGCUGGUGUAUAGAAUAAGGAAUUACAUGGCAUUUCUAUUCGCAACAUUUCACAACGUUUUCGAACUGAACAUGGCCCAGGUUUGCCACAUCCAGUUUGGACGACUGGGACUUCGUUCGACAGAAUAAUCACAGCUUUCCAUCUGCAAAUGGACAAGAGGGAGCAGUGCACAGCACCAGAUGGGUCUUUCAUAAGUAUUAUUAUCUUAGAGGCCUGCUAUCGCUGCGUGUAAGAGGGCAAAGCCAGGAGCGUGAAUGGCUGGUUGACAUUGGAGGUGAUUGUACAGUGCUAUACAUUGAAUGACACAGAUGAAGGGAACAGGACUGUAUGGCGUUGGUUUCCCUGAGGACUUAACUUCAAAGCUUCACCAACAGGAAACACAGCUAAUCUCUCCAGUGGGGUACUAUCUAACUACUUAUAGUACAUUGUGGGAAAAUGGGAAAAAUAAUGACAAAGACACCAAAGACUACAGCAUGCAGACGUGCAGGGGAGCAUUUUAAUAAAUACUAAACUAGAACAUGUUUACAGUUACUGUAGCUACCUACUGUACUUCUCCCCGGUAAUUAUACAGAAUAUAACUUGUCCGCCUGCGUCUCCACAACAACCGAGUCAAUGCAAAACCUCACUAAUGAUCUUCCCUCCCAGCAAUGUGCUGUUCUGUAAACUGGUGUAAAAUCAACCAUUUUAGAGUAGACCGUUUUUGCCUUCACCUUUAAGGAGGAUUGCUUUCUCAAUGUGGAAAACUCUGUAGUGUUUACUGAAAUAAUGAUGGCAAUUAGAGAAUGAAGAAUAACUCCAUGAACCUCAACCCAUAGUCUCCCUAGUCUUCACUUAGCUGAGAAACAGUGUAGCUACAUAGUCUCCCUAGUCUUCACUUAGCUGAGAAACAGUGUAGCUACUCCACACUGAGAGAGCAGUGUGAGUUAAGACCCCAAACCGGCGUAAUGGCCUCCCUCCUCUAAAGGGAAGCUAUAAUUAACAUUAAGCGAGCAGAUGUUGAAAGAAAAGCAUUUUUCGCGAUAAUAAAUGUGAUUUUGAAUUUAACAUCUCAGGGGUAAGGGAACCCUAUCUAAAUAACCCCAAGGCCCCCGCCUCUUCCUCCAUAGUGGUCUGUAAUGCUGUAAGUGCAGUAACGACACCCAUCCCUCACCACCCCCUCUUCCCUUCCCACUCCUCUCUCUGUGCCUCCCAGGCCUCUGGCCGAGGUGGAAACCCUUCUGUUUCAGUAGGGAUCGAGUGACUCUGCACUUAAGUGCGGCAACAAUGUCAAUGAAAUUGAGACCAACAAUGUUUGCAUUGUAGCUACAAGACGGCUCGCCCCUUGCAGUAAAAAAAGAGGUGUGGGAAGGUGAUGGAGAUAGGUUAAACCAGCACUCUGGUUCCUGAGGACUUCUCAAACUUCUGAGGGUUCAAUGCACUGCAAUGCCUCUGUGGAAUAAAAGCUUCAAUCUGCCUACAUGAAAAUUCAAUUUCUCCAGCAUUUGAAAGGAGUCUGGUCUAUUGUAGGCUGCUGCUGCCUUUUGCAUGUAUGAAUAGUUCAUUUCUCUUCAUUUCUCCCUCUUAUUUAAAAAUAGGUCACUCCAAAUUCACAGUUAAACAGCACUUGUGAGAGUCUGCCUUGCCAUGCCUGUUAUAAAAGAAGUAUGUGUUUGGGUGUUGUGUUUAGGUUGAGUUAGGAUCUUGUGCUAGUCUGUUUUCUGGUGUUGUUUUUUACUAUUGUUGUUGACUAUUUACUGUUUACUUGUUUGAUUUGAGUAUCCACAUAACACCCAUAUGGUUCUUGAGAAGUAGAG